GAAAUGCGAUACGUAAUGUGAAUUGCAAAUUCAGUGAAUCAUCGAGUCUUUGAACGCACAUUGCGCCCCCUGGUAUUCCGGGGGGCAUGCCUGUCCGAGCGUCAUCUCUGCCCUCAAGCACGGCUUGUGUGUUGGGCCCCGUCCUCCGAUCCCGGGGGACGGGCCCGAAAGGCAGCGGCGGCACCGCGUCCGGUCCUCGAGCGUAUGGGGCUUUGUCACCCGCUCUGUAGGCCCGGCCGGCGCUUGCCGAUCAACCCAAAUUUUUAUCCAGGUUGACCUCGGAUCAGGUAGGGAUACCCGCUGAACUUAAGC
rnacentral:misc_RNA from 1 species